rnacentral:rRNA from 1 species
CUACGGGGGGCACCAGUGAGGAAUUUUGCGCAAUGGGCGAAAGCCUGACGCAGCAACGCCGCGUGAGUGAUGAAGGCCUUCGGGUCGUAAAGCUCUGUCAAGUGGGAAGAACCUAUGUAAUGUUAAUAUCAUUAUAUACUGACGGUACCACUGAAGGAAGCACCGGCUAACUCCGUGCCAGCAGCCGCGGUAAUACGGGAGGUGCAAGCGUUAUUCGGAAUCAUUGGGCGUAAAGGGCACGUAGGCGGCCUGGUAAGUCAGAUGUGAAAGCCCGGGGCUUAACCCCGGAAGUGCAUUUGAUACUGUCAGGCUUGAGUAUGGGAGAGGGAAGUGGAAUUCCUGGUGUAGAGGUGAAAUUCGUAGAUAUCAGGAGGAACACCGGUGGCGAAGGCGACUUCCUGGACCAAUACUGACGCUGAGGUGCGAAGGCGUGGGUAGCAAACAGGAUUAGAUACCCCUGUAGUC